GACGAACGCUGGCGGCGUGCUUAACACAUGCAAGUCGAACGGAAAGGCCCUGCUUGCAGGGUACUCGAGUGGCGAACGGGUGAGUAACACGUGGGUGAUCUGCCCUGCACUUCGGGAUAAGCCUGGGAAACUGGGUCUAAUACCGGAUAGGAGCCAUUUUUAGUGUGAUGGUUGGAAAGUUUUUUCGGUGUAGGAUGAGCUCGCGGCCUAUCAGCUUGUUGGUGGGGUAAUGGCCUGCCAAGGCGGCGACGGGUAGCCGGCCUGAGAGGGUGGACGGCCACAUUGGGACUGAGAUACGGCCCAGACUCCUACGGGAGGCAGCAGUGGGGAAUAUUGCACAAUGGGCGCAAGCCUGAUGCAGCGACGCCGCGUGGGGGAUGACGGCCUUCGGGUUGUAAACUCCUUUCGCUAGGGGCGAAGCUUUUUGUGACGGUACCUAGAUAAGAAGCACCGGCUAACUACGUG
rnacentral:rRNA from 1 species